GAUAUUUGCCCUAAAAAAUCAUUUGGGAAUUGAAAGCAAAUCAAACAGUUUCCGAGAGGAGGAAUCUGAAGCUUGUGAAUUCAUCCAGCGUUAUCGUCCUCAGUGAUUUCUAUCACACAGAUUCACAGUCUCAUCUUCUCUGAGAUUCCACUUCGACUUCGACUUCGCCGGCGAUUGUUCAACAGCUCUCCGGUCUCUUCACCGUAACGGCGAACUUCUUCAAAUCUUUCUGCAUUCUAUGUGUUUGUCGAAUUGAUCCAAUGGCUCUCACUUGUGUUAAGUGUUAUCCAUGGUCUCUUCCUCACUCUCCCCUCUCUUUUUCCUCCAAACCCAUCUCCAAUUCCUCCAUCUUCUUUUCUGCUUCAGUUUCUGACCAGCUCCCCUCCUCUUCUUCCUCCAAAUUCACUUCCUCUUCACCAAAUGUUCAUCAUCUUCCUCUUGAUUUCACUCCCAAGCAGCUCAUCGACGCCCUUCGUCGCCAAACUGAUGAAGUAGCGGCCCUUCGCGUCUUCAAUUGGGCUUCAAAGCAGCCUAACUUCGUGCCCAGUUCCUCGGUUUACGAGGAGAUUCUUCGAAAGCUUGGAAAAGCAGGGUCGUUCGAGUACAUGAGGCGCGUUCUGGAGGAGAUGAAGCUCUCUGGCUGUGAGUUCGAUAGAGGUAUAUUCUUGAUUUUUGUUGAAAGUUAUGCGAAAUUCGAGUUGUAUGAUGAAGUUAUGGGCAUUGUUAAAGAAAUGGAGGAUGAAUAUAGGAUGAAGCCAGAUACCCGUUUCUAUAAUGUGUUGUUGAAUGUUCUUGUGGAGGCAAAUAAGCUUAAACUUGUGGAAUCUGCACAUUCGAGCAUGGUUAGAAGACGAAUUAGGCACGAUAUUUCGACAUUUAAUAUUUUGAUUAAGGCCCUUUGCAAGGCUCAUCAGGUUAGGCCUGCUAUUUUGAUGAUGGAAGAAAUGCCAAGUUAUGGCUUAUCUCCAGAUGAAACCACAUUCACAACUAUAAUGCAGGGGUACAUUGAGGAGGGAAAUUUGGAUGGUGCACUAAGAAUUAAAGAACAGAUGGCAGAAUAUGGGUGCCCUUGUACUGAUGUCACUGUUAAUGUCUUGAUUAAUGGGUUUUGCAAACAGGGUAGAAUUGAUCAAGCCUUGAGUUUUAUUCAAGAAGCGGCGAACGAAGGAUUUCGUCCCGAUCAGUUUACAUAUAAUACUCUUGUGAAUGGUUUGUGCAAGGUUGGUCAUGCUAGGCAUGCAAUGGAAGUUGUAGAUGCAAUGCUUUUAGGAGGAUUUGAUCCAGAUAUCUACACAUACAACUCUCUGAUUUCUGGACUGUGUAAGCUGGGUGAAAUUGAGGAGGCAGUGACGAUUCUGGAUCAAAUGGUUUCAAGGGAUUGCACUCCAAAUGCUGUCACCUAUAACACUAUAAUUAGUUCGUUGUGUAAGGCGAACCGAGUUGAAGAGGCGACUGAAAUUGCUCGUCUUCUCACAAGCAAGGGAGUCUUACCAGAUGUCUGUACAUUCAAUUCUUUGAUACAGGGUCUCUGCUUGUCUGGCAAUCAUAGGAACGCUGUGGAGCUUUUCGAGGAAAUGAAGGGUAAAGGAUGCCGGCCGGACGAAUUUACGUACAAUAUGUUGAUUGGCAGUCUUUGUUCAAGUAGGAAGCUGGAGGAAGCUUUAAAUCUGUUAAAGGAAAUGGAGUUGAGUGGCUGUGCACGCAAUGUAGUUAUCUAUAAUACAUUAAUUGAUGGGUUUUGUAAGAACAAGAGGAUUGAAGAAGCAGAGGAGAUAUUUGAUGAGAUGGAACUUCAAGGGGUUUCAAGGGAUUCAGUGACUUACAACACUCUUAUUGAUGGUCUUUGUAAAAGUAAGAGGGUGGAAGAUGCUGCUCAUUUAAUGGACCAGAUGAUAAUGGAGGGACUGAAGCCUGAUAAAUUCACCUACAAUUCACUUCUCACUCACUUUUGCAAGACUGGUGACAUUAAAAAGGCAGCAGAUAUAGUUCAAACAAUGACCUCAAGUGGAUGCAAUCCAGACAUCGUCACCUACGGCACACUUAUUGGUGGUCUCUGUAAGGCAGGAAGAGUUCAGGUUGCAAGUCGGCUUCUCCGGUCUAUUCAGAUGAAAGGGAUGGUUCUGACACCUCAGGCCUAUAAUCCUGUUAUCCAAGCAUUGUUCAAGCGGAACAGAACUCAUGAAGCCAUGAGACUUUUCAAAGAGAUGUUGGAGAAGGCUGAUCCCCCAGAUGCAAUAACUUAUAAGAUUGUUUAUCGUGGUCUCUGCAACGGCGGAGGGCCAAUUGGAGAAGCCGUGGACUUCACAGUCGAGAUGAUUGAGAGAGGAAAUAUACCAGAAUUCUCAUCAUUUGUUAUGUUGGCCGAAGGUCUCUGUACUUUGUCCAUGGAAGACACCCUUGUAAAGCUUGUUGAUAUGAUAAUGGAGAAAGCUAAAUUCUCAGAGAGCGAGAUUUCAACGAUAAGGGGCUUCCUUAAAAUCCAAAAAUUUCAAGAUGCAUUGUCAACUCUUGGAGGUAUCUUGGAUGAUCUGUAUCCCAGAAGAUCUUAUCGAGGAAGAUGAGGAUGAAGUGUUGUUUUUACUACCCAUAUGGAGGUUAGGGAGCUUUUCCUCCUUGGAUAGCAGCAAUCUGCAGGUUCGAGAGACUUGUGGAAGAGGAAGAGGAGCACAACUCACUAGAAGCCAAUAUGCUGCCAUUGCUGCUAUGUGUUAUCUAGCCGGGCUCCUCUAGGUGAUUUUGUACACUCCGUCGUAAGAAGGUAUGUAUUUCUUUUUUGUAUGUAUUCUCAAUAGUUUACUAAUUUCUGGGAAAAUUGACAUGAGCUUUGUUAAUUGUUUUUUUUUUUAAUAAUCCCCUCUAUUUGAUAUUUAUUUAUAAAUUUAUAAAGAAAUAAGUUUGGUUCCCGGUCAGGCUUCAUCGAGUAUUCAUUGGGUAUGGAAUUGGACUUGGAUACCCUGCAAAUUGACUCCAAUGGUAGUUGAAUACAAAUUCAUGACUUGCCUUGGCUGCUUUGUCGAAAAUAUCCAAAAUAUCUUUAUUCUUAAAAUUAACUAAUAAAUUAGCUUUCAAGUGAUGGAUGCAGAUACCAAGAAAUGCUUCUGGGAAGACCGUGAUAAUUGCCUUUUUUAUGCUAGGGUGUCUAUCGAUAUGAUAACCAAAUCAUGAACUUGCCUAAUUGCACAUCUUAAUUGUUGAAGGAACCACACUCAAGAUUCAUCAGUUUCUCCACGAAAUAGACUGAACGCGACUGGGUAUAUUUGAUUAUUUCCAUCGACCCCAGUUGCAAACAGGAGUUUACCAUUGUAUUUACCCCUUAAAUGUGUUCAAUCUACAAUUAAAAUAGGACGAAUGCAGUUCAGAAAUCCCCUAAUGGAAGCACCAAGAGUCAUAAAGACGUGCUUGAAAUAUUUAUCUUCCUGCAGAUCAUAUUUAAAUGUUGAGCCAAGAUUUUCAAUUUGUAAGGCUUCACCAAAUUUAGGUAACUUCUUGUACAAUUCUUCUGGCAACCCCCAAACAAGCACUAACGCUUCUUCCCUUGCCCCUCAUGCCUUGUCAUAACUUAAACUCACUCCAUACUCU